UUGUAGUUCCUGGCGCGAAGAAUUUUUGAGUAUCAUGAUUUAUUUUCUUCUCUCUCCCCAUUCCUUAGUGAACUCGAUCCGCCAAGUAGCUCUGCUAGCUGGUUUCGCCUGUGGCCGUGUUUUGCAGUUCACGAUUCUCACUUCGCCCACUAAUCUGACUCUGCGCGUAACAUCAUUGUAGCUGCUGCCUCUUGUCACUGCUCGCGACCAAUGUGAAGAUAGAAAUGAAAUGGAAAUGAAGUUUUCAAAAAGCCAGGAGUAGUUGAUAUACUAAAGGCAGUACUAGUUGCAUUUGAUGUGAAAUAUGUAUUAAUAAUUGAUUAUAAGAAUAAGGUAGCAAAAGAAGUGAAUGCAUCAUUUCCAAUCAUGGUAGUGAAAAGAAAUUCUCGUCAAAGGUUUAAUAUUGAUCCAAAUGAAGUUGUAUCUGAUGAAAUGGGCCUUCAUACUGAAGAGUCAAAUAAAUCCAAAAGACCAAGUACUGAAAUGUGCAAGA